rnacentral:tRNA from 1 species
GCCUGGGUGGCUCAAUGGGUUAAGCUUCCGACUUCAACUCAGGUCGUGAUCUUAUAGCUCGUGGGUUCAAGCCCCACAUCGGGCU